CCUUAGCCCCGAUAGAGGCGGUAUCCUUUUUUGAGAAGAUUUUUCAUCUUCUCAAAAAAGAUAUAGCCGAAAGCGGGAAAUAGC
rnacentral:sRNA from 1 species